UACGAGGGGGGCAAGCGUUGUUCGGAAUUAUUGGGCGUAAAGGGUGCGUAGGCGGUUUGGUAAGUCUUAUGUGAAAUCUACAGGCUCAACUUGUAGUCUGCAUGAGAAACUGCCGGGCUUGAGUAUGGGAGAGGUGAGUGGAAUUCCUGGUGUAGCGGUGAAAUGCGUAGAUAUCGGGAAGAACACCUAUGGCGAAGGCAGCUCUCUGGGACGGUACUGACGCUGAGACGCGAAAGCGUGGGGAGCGAACAGG
rnacentral:rRNA from 1 species